AUGUGGUCAACACACACGAUGGGCGGAAAUUCAAGAAACUCUACCGAUUGCUCUACCGUUGAAAUGGCGUUCUUCACCAAGCAGAAGGGAGGGUUGGUAUCCCGUAUCAACACUCUCCUUGUGGUAAACACCAUCUUGAUGGCAGUCAUUGCUGUGAUGGGUGCCUACCGGCAUCGCUAUCGCCACCAUCCUUUGAUCCGCUUCAUCUACCUAGCAGCAACCACCUUGUUCCUACCCAUUGUCUCCUAUGUCGUCUCCGCCAUCGAGAAUCCAUACAACGUCACCAAUUAUGUACUAAAGUACACAGUCAUAACAGCAAAAUGUGAAGCACGCCUACAUGUCUUCUCAGUUAUGUUGUGGAUUGGUUUGGUCCAGAUUGUUGGUACCAAUGCCAUUGCAACAGUUGCCGGCGAUUAUAGAGAAGGCCGAAGCAUUGUUCCCCCUGCAGUGCAGCUUGUUCAAGCAAUAUGGACUUCCUACCUUGCCUACACCGCCAUAGAAUCAAAUCUACAUCCACCUGAAUAUUUUGGACGGUUUCCAGGUCCUGUUACUGAUCCAAAAAAGGGAAUUCUCGGGCUUGUUUAUAAGCUUCCACCGUAUGUUCUUAUGUUACUACCGUAUGUUCUUAUCUUGGCAAAAAUGCUCUUGAAGUAUUAUGCUUGGUACAUGGCCAGGAGAUCAUUAGCGCUUGGAAGCAAUCCUCGUCUCAUUGUUGGAUACAUGGAGCAACUACAAGAUGGAGUGCUCAAUUGUGCCGAACUAGUAAGUGAGCAUGUACCUCCCCCGCUUAUACUUAUGAAAGAGGAUACUUUGCUGGUAGAGAAACAACCUCAUGGUUAUAGCUUGACAAGGAUGAACAAUAAUGGCUUAGUGACCCUAGACAGAGUUUGGCAGUUGAAUGUCACAUUGAAAUCGGGGCCAACAACGCAGCACAAAGACCUAUGCCUUUCAUUUGCAAUGUUCAAGCUAUUGCGGUGUCGUUUUGCGAGGUAUAAAGUCAGUGAGGCUAUCUUUGCAAAAGCCAAUAACUUUAUAUGCCAUGUCUUGCUCGAGGAUAGUGAUGAUGAAAGGGUAUUUGGGGUGAUUGCACAUGAGCUUUCAUUUCUUAAUGAUUAUUAUUAUACAUCACUCCCGGUCUCAUAUUCAAAGAGUUGGCUACCCAUAGUGAGCACAUGCAUUUCACUCUUAAGUAUCGGCUACUGCUUGCUUGUCACCAACAAUUUCAUAAUGGAGUCCCAGAGUAGUGAAAGUGAGCAGAUUACAUGUAGUGAGUUCCAUUGCGAUCCUCCAUAUAUGCCUCAGGGUGGAUCAUCUUUGCAAUUCGGAGCAUUGCUCUUUGAUCAAAUGUCACUAAGUCUACUUGUUGCACUAGUUGUGCUUGUUGAAGCGAGGGAGAUCAUGUCUUACAUUUGCUCCAAUUGGACUAAAGUAGCCCUGACAUGCCACUACGUAAGUCAUACGUCUUGGCAACAAUCUCCAGUGAUCCGUAAGUGUGUUGGCCUCCUGCUACGCACCAGAUGCAAGUUUAUGGUACAUUGGGAGGACAAGAUGAACCAAUCCUCAAUCCUGGUGCUCCGCCCAAGGAGAAACCUAGUGGCUCUACUUCGACAUCUCCUUCAUCUGCCAGACCAGAAGAAGAAGGUGCCAAGGCCUGUGAAAGCAGCCGUCGUCGAUGCGGUGAGAAGGUACAAAAGAACCGGGCGCCAAACCAAUGGGGCAACACAUAUGCAACUCCAUGUCAACAACCUCCUUUGGACAUCCCAAGGCACCAAGGGCACAGCUGAUGUCAUUCUCGUGUGUCACGUCGCCACAAGUAUCCUUGAAGUGAGAUCACGACGGCAAAACAAACCUCUCUCCAACCAUGAGAUUGCCGCCACUCAUAUAUCGCAGUAUUGCGCCUACUUGGAUGCCUACUGUCCCGAGCUACUCCCCGACGACGCCGCGUGGUGCAGGAGCCUGUACAAGGCCGUCAAGAAGGAUGCUGCGCGCGUCCUCCGGAGCGAUCGGGUGUCGCCGGCAACGCCCGAAGCAGAGGAUCAGCAGCUGGUCAAGCUGUUGAGCGAGCAGUCGAAGCACCAUGUGCUCAAGGAUGGCGCCGAGCUCGGGCGGCUGCUGACGGAGCUGCCGGAAGGAGAAGAGGUGGCAUGGAAGGCUCUCGCGGAAUUCUGGUCGGACACACUCGUCUCCGUCGCCGCUGCUUGCGACAACAUCGACGACCACGCCGAGGCCGUCGCCCGGGGCGGGGAGCUGGUGACGCUCCUCUGGGCGCUGCUCGCCCAUGUCGGGAGCGUCGACGACGACACCGCCGAUGCCGCUGCAACUCAUGGUGCUCCCGAUGCUGUUUAA
rnacentral:rRNA from 1 species